UACGAAGGGGGCUAGCGUUGCUCGGAAUUACUGGGCGUAAAGGGAGCGUAGGCGGAUAGUUCAGUCAGAGGUGAAAGCCCAGGGCUCAACCUUGGAAUUGCCUUUGAUACUGGCUGUCUUGAGUAUGGGAGAGGUUAGCGGAACUCCGAGUGUAGAGGUGAAAUUCGUAGAUAUUCGGAAGAACACCAGUGGCGAAGGCGGCUAACUGGCCCAUUACUGACGCUGAGGCUCGAAAGCGUGGGGAGCAAACAGGAUUAGAUACCCUGGUAGUCCACGCCGUAAACGAUGAGUGCUAGUUGUCGGCAUGCAUGCAUGUCGGUGACGCAGCUAACGCAUUAAGCACUCCGCCUGGGGAGUACGGUCGCAAGAUUAAA
rnacentral:rRNA from 1 species